AGUGAACGCUGGCGGUAGGCCUAACACAUGCAAGUCGAACGGCAGCACAGUAAGAGCUUGCUCUUACGGGUGGCGAGUGGCGGACGGGUGAGGAAUGCAUCGGAAUCUACUUUUUCGUGGGGGAUAACGUAGGGAAACUUACGCUAAUACCGCAUACGACCUACGGGUGAAAGCAGGGGAUCUUCGGACCUUGCGCGAUUGAAUGAGCCGAUGUCGGAUUAGCUAGUUGGCGGGGUAAAGGCCCACCAAGGCGACGAUCCGUAGCUGGUCUGAGAGGAUGAUCAGCCACACUGGAACUGAGACACGGUCCAGACUCCUACGGGAGGCAGCAGUGGGGAAUAUUGGACAAUGGGCGCAAGCCUGAUCCAGCCAUACCGCGUGGGUGAAGAAGGCCUUCGGGUUGUAAAGCCCUUUUGUUGGGAAAGAAAAGCAGCAGGUUAAUACCCCGCUGUUCUGACGGUACCCAAAGAAUAAGCACCGGCUAGCUUCGUG
rnacentral:rRNA from 1 species